rnacentral:rRNA from 1 species
ACCUACGACCAUCUCACCCUGAAUGCGCCCGAUCUCCUCUGAUCUCGGAAGCUAAGCAGAGUCGAGCCUGGUUAGAAUUGGGUUGGAAGACUGCCUGGGAAUACCAGGUGUUGUAGGCU